ensembl:lncRNA
CUCACGUUCCACCAACACAUCAGGGUUAAUCCUUUCACUCAAGAAACCCGAACAAUCCAUCGGCAGCAGUGGAAACAGGAGUUCUUGAAACUGAAAUGAUUCAUUUAUAUUCAUCCAGCUGAUUUAAUUCCCGUAUCGCCAAAACCUUCACAUCCUCUGGUCGUACUCCAUUCGUCUUAAUCCACACUUUGCAGUUCCAGCGCGACUUUGUGUUUGUGGUUCACAAAGCGCACAAUGAUGGCAGGAGGCCCAAGGAUCGUAGAAUGACGCUUCUUAGGUAGCAAGUGACAGGCAGAAAAGUUUUCACUCUGAACUUCAAUAUCUUUGCUCACCAAGAAUGAAACAACCUGCUGUUCCAGGGAUUGGGUCUCUAUCUCCAGUGCAUUAGCAUCGAGGACUCCUGCCUCUGGAUCCGCCACCCUCGCAUAGGUACGGUGUU